rnacentral:misc_RNA from 1 species
GAGACAUUAUCUGAGAGCAGCAGGCCUGAAGUCGAAUUAAUUUUAGGUGGAACAACUUUUCUUACACCUAAAGAUAUGUUUGAACUACUGCUGGGCGAUUAUUGUUGUGUGUAAGGCUGUGUAGCUUUCUAGUUUUGUUAUGUAAAGUUUAAGAUGACAAGUUCUGUCUAAUGUCUGAUAUUUAGAGAAUACAAAACUUUUCCUUAAUGUAAACAGCAUUGGAACUUAUAUGAUUUUCAAUAUAUUUUUCGUAUACUUCCU